AAAGCUCAAAUUUAAAAUCUGUUGGCAUUGGCCAACUGAGUUGUAAUCUAGAGAAGUGUUACCCGUGCUGGACCGUGUACAAGUCUCCUGGAAUGGGGCAUCACAGAGGGUGAGAAUCCCGUCUUUGACAUGGACUACCAGUGCUUUUGUGGUAUGCUCUCAAAGAGUCGAGUUGUUUGGGAAUGCAGCUCAAAAUGGGUGGUAAAUGCCAUCUAAAGCUAAAUAUUGGCGAGAGACCGAUAGCGAA
rnacentral:rRNA from 1 species